AAUUUGAUUGGAACGUCAUUUGGAACGUAUCAGAUACCGUGGAAUUCGGGAGAAAAAGAGCGAAAAAUGAUCAAAAUGAAAGCAAGUGAAAGUUCAAGACCCAAUUUGCAAAUAAUCCAAAGAUGAGACGAGCGAUGGAAUGAUGAUUUGACAAUGCUAAAGUCAAUUGGUUGCAAUCAGAAGUUAAAAGAAAUGAAAUGUAACCAUAACAUUUUC
rnacentral:lncRNA from 1 species